AAGCAUCUAAGUGCGAAACUCACCUCAAGAUGAGGCUUCUUUAUAAGGGUCGUCAUAGACGAUGACGUUGAUAGGUUGCAGGUGUAAAGACAGUAAUGUCCUAAGCUGAGCAAUACUAAUUACCCGUAGACUUUCCGUU
rnacentral:rRNA from 1 species